GCAGACCCUGGGCUAGCGGGCCUCAGUGAGAACUCCAAUGGCGUCUGUGUCAGCACGCUCACACCAGGCCACAACAAUGGCCCCCGCCAAUGUCCCAGUCCCUGGAGAGGUCUCACCCCUCACCGAGAUGCACUCAGGGCCUAUUAGGUUAGAGUUCUCCAAAAUGAAGCUCUACGAGACUUGGAAGGCAAAAUGAAGCAGUUGCCGUGACACACUGAAAGGAACAAUAUUCUUUUCACCCAUACUCCAUCCUACUUCUGCCAGACAGUGCCUUUCCCAAGAGUCUCUUUUGUCUGGAUUUUUCUCUUUCAGGACACCUUUUAUCAACUCCAGCUG